CGAAGUCUGGUGCCAGCAGCCGCGGUAAUCCAGCUCCAAUAGCGUAUAUUAAAGUUGCUGCAGUUAAAAAGCUCGUAGUUGAAUUUCGGGAUCGAUAUAUCGGUCGUGCCUCGGUACGUACUGGUAUUUUCGGUUUCUACCUUCUGACGAACCUUGAUGUCAUUAAUUUGGUGUCUUGGGGAAUCAGGACUGUUACUUGAAAAAUUAGAGUGUUUAAAGCAGGCUCACGCUUGAAUACAUUAGCAUGGAAUAAUGAAAUAGGACGUUUGAUUCUAAUUUUGUUGGUUUCUAGGAUCGACGUAAUGAUUAAUAGGGAUAGUUGGGGGCAUUAGUAUUCAAUUGUCAGAGGUGAAAUUCUUGGAUUUAUUGAAAGACUAACUACUGCGAAAGCAUUUGCCAAGGAUGUUUUCAUUAAUCAAGAACGAAAGUUAGGGGAUCGAAGACGAUCAGAUACCGUCGUAGUCUUAACCAUAAACUAUGCCGACUAGGGAUCGGACGAUGUUAAUUUUUUAAUGACUCAUUCGGCGCCUUACG
rnacentral:rRNA from 1 species